rnacentral:lncRNA from 1 species
CUGUUAUGACCGGCAUGUUAGGGGCUUAGCCCAGUUAGUUGUGGCCCAGUCUAUCUUAUCGUUAUUAGGGGCUUAGCCCAAUUAUCGUUAUUAGGGGCUUGGGAGUCAAGUAAACCUCUCUAUAUAAGGAGAGGAGAUGUAUCAAUCUAAUCAAGCAAAGAAGCAAUCAUAUUUGCUCGGCUUCCUUAGGGAGCCGGGAGACCUAACUCUAGCCGCCUCCUUCCCUGCGUCAUCUCCCUCUCAGCCGCCGCCUCCUCGCGCACGACGGCGCCCAGCCGCCGGCGGCCGCGAGUUUGCCCACGACCAGCUCCCUCCUUCCCCUACCACCUCCGUCCUAGACCCGGUAGAACCCUAGUUUCUACUAGUUUGGUAUCAUGUAGCUCAGUUCCGAUCAUGUCUUCGCCGCCGCCCACCCCGUCGCUUCCACUGCCGACCGGCACCACCGCACCGCUGCCAAUCUCCACCGCGCCGCUGCCCUCCCCGUCCGCGCCGCUGGUCGCAUCCUCCAGCGCCGCCACCGUCCAGAUGCCGGCACCUUCCACCACACCACCGGCCGCCGCCUACACCCCGGAGGAGAUCACCGGGGUCCUCAACGACCUCGUCACAGCCGUCCAGGAAAUCCGGCUGUACCUAACCAGCCCCUACGGGACGCCGCCACCCCCACCGUGGUACUCGCCGCAUCCAGGGGCCUCCGCGGCGUUCGCUGGGACGCUGCCCGCCGCCCCGCAGUGGCCGCAGUGGUCGGCGCCGGUUUCCGACGCGCCUCCAGCGCCCAUCGCCGCCUCCGCGCCGCCGUGGCUGCCAUGGCAGCCGCCGCACCAGGCGGCCUUCGCCGCGCUCGUCGGGCCACUGCAGCAGCCGCUGCAGCUGCCAUCCCUCGCCACCACCGCCCAGCCCUGGCUGCAGUGGCAGCCGCCGCUCCUGGCGGCCUCCGCCACGCCCGACGCUCCGCCGCAGCAGCCACCGCCGGUCAGCUCCAGCCCCGCAUCGACCGCACCGGCGGGAGUUCCGCUCCACCAAGUCCGGUUCCCGUCCUCGCCGUCCCCGCUACCGGCUUGGUUGACCGAGUCGUCGUCUCAGCCGGUCUACACGAUGGCCUCGGGGCCGCCGCACGUGCCGUCACAGCAGGCGCAGUACGGCGGGUCCUCCAGUUCCGCGGGUCCCUACGUUGGCCUCGACGCAACGCAGUUCCACGGGGGGCCCCUGUGAUCACCGACCCAGCGCCGCUGCUCGGCACCGCUGAGCCGUACCCCCACGGCGGUCAUACCCAAACAGUGCCGCGCUUCGCCAAGCUCGCAUUCGCCACCUACGAAGGCACCGAGGACCCCCUCAACUGGCUUAAUCAGUGUGACCAGUUCUUCCAGGGGCAACGUACGCUCGCGUCGGACCGCACUUGGCUCGCUUCAUAUCACCUCCGAGGCGCCGCACAGACUCGGUCUUACGCUCUCGAGCAGGACGAGGGCGGCAUGCCUCCAUGGGAGCGUUUUCGCGAGCUUUGCCUCCUUUGCUUCGGGCCGCCAAUACGCGGGAGCCGGCUGGCGGAGUUAGGCCGUCUUCCCUUCACCUCUAUUGUGCAGGAGUUCACAGACCGCUUUCAGGCCCUGGCAUGCCACGCGCCCGGCGUGACGGCUCGCCAGCGGGCUGAGCUCUUCGUCGGCGGUCUGCCGGAUCAUAUCCGCGUGGACGUGGAGCUGCAGGGACCCCAGGACCUCCAGAAGGCCAUGUACUAUGCCCGCGCGUUCGAGCGCCGCGCGGUGGCCAUCCAACAGGCGUCACCGCCCCGGGCCGCUGGGCCGCCACCCUGGUCGGACAUUCCAGGCAGGGUCGUCCUGCUCAGGCUUCCGCGGCACCCCUCGCCGCGACCGCGGGGCGCCCGUUCCGCUGGCUCACACCGGCCGAGCAACUCGAGCGUCGCCAACAAGGGUUGUGCUUCAACUGCGACGAGCCCUACGCGCCCGGCCACGUCUGUCUGCGACUCUUCUACCUGGAGGUUGCGGACUACAUUGAGGAGGACGCCGCUGCAGCCGGGCUCGGCGACCUGCCCGCCCCAGCUGCCGCGGAGGUGUUUGGCGACGGUUGAUCACCUCAAGGAGUUCCGCAAGCGCUUUCCCGCCUUCCAGCUCGAGGACGAGCUGUUUGUGCAGGCGGGGAGAAAUGUUAUGACCGGCAUGUUAGGGGCUUAGCCCAGUUAGUUGUGGCCCAGUCUAUCUUAUCGUUAUUAGGGGCUUAGCCCAAUUAUCGUUAUUAGGGGCUUGGGAGUCAAGUAAAUCUCUCUAUAUAAGGAGACGAGAUGUAUCAAUCUAAUCAAGCAAAGAAGCAAUCAUAUUUGCUCGGCUUCCUUAGGGAGCCGGGAGACCUAACCCUAGCCGCC